UCAUUCAGCUCUCACAUCUGUGUUUCUUUUUUCAAGCCUGGCAUUUUUGAAUACACAGUCCAUCACAUAAAGUCCACUUAUACAGAAACAAUAUUCCAAUCCUAGGAACCAUUUCACCUAGGACACUUGUGCAGAGCCUUAGCGAGCUCUGUGUAACUGCAUUUGCCUCACAACAGAAAAGUGGCCAGGCAUUAUAAGCACUUUGAAGGUGAGUUGCUAAUAAACUACGUGCAUGCAGAAUGCACUGUUGAUCACUAUUCCCUGGUAUAGGGGCUGGAUGAUUCUCAUAUUGCAACCUCAUUGGUCACUGGGAUAGGAUACGGCAGAACAAUGUGUCCACGGGCAAGCAUUCUAUCGGGACAAGGAACAGGCAGCCUUCAGCAAUCAAAUGCCAGCUCCAUGAGGAUGAAUGAGAAUUACUACUUAUCACCAGAGAGGUUUUAAAGAUCCCUAUGCAAUUUUACUUCAACUGAACAUUAGUAGAAAUUUAUGAAUCCCAGCAAGAAAAAUUCUAAAAUUAGUAUUAAAAAUCAAAACCUAAUUUUUUAGAAGACUCAGCCUACAGGUACCAGGUCUAAGGAUUUAAGAUACUGAUAAAAUAGUGGUGGCUGGCACAGAAUUCUUUCCUGCAAAAGGAGAAACCUACAGGUUUUCUUAAAAGACAGCAAUUCCCAAACCUACCAUUUCAGGAGGAAGACUCAGCUAAUUACAGAGCUAUUCACCUCUAGUCCAACACUCCCACUAUCACAUUGUGUACUGACAGCAUAAAAGAAAACACCAGCGAGCCAAGGAGUUAGUUCAUGCUGCUUAAUAGAGGUAAAUGAUGAACAGUAGCAAGGGACUCUAAGACUGAAAGCAAGUUUUAACCCUACUAGGAUAUUAAAGCCAGAAUUUUAAUAUCCUUGAUGAAACGCUGCUAGGACCAACAGGCUUCCCCAGGGAAACAGGACAAAAGGCGUCACGCUUCUGCUCAUGCUGACAAGCCCCAGGCUGUGCCCUCCAACACCCUGGGUUGCCAUACACCCAAGUGGGUGAGAAGACAACAUGGCAAGUUUUUGCCUGAAGGAAAAAAAAUAGCCUUUUGUAUUAUUUUAGGGUGCAUAGAAAAGAAAAAAGGCUUCAGCACAGGGCAGAUUAACUAGCUUCCCAAGAAAACAAGGCCUACCAAAUCUCUUUGUGCAUUUUACCAGUGUGUGAACUAACAAACCAUUUUUAAUCCUCUUCAGCAACUUCCAGAUUUUACAGAGACAGAAAUGCUCAGGGCCAGUAGAGGAGACUGAUCCGAACGACUGCUCCUUGUACCUCCUGCUCUUAAACUCUCGGCAGCUGAAGCACGAGCACAGCAACAUUAGCAUGCACCAGGAGCCCAUCAGUAAAGCACCAGCACAAACUCUACUUCAUCUGGAAAAGACAUGCGAUCACAAAACCCACACAAUGCGAAGGCCACACGACUUGUAUGGCUCAAUCAGCUGUGGGUCUGGGAUUUUUUUUUAGUGGCGUUUCCCCCUUUCCUGUCUUCCAUAAAAUGAUUUGGAGGAAAGUGAUUUCAUGUCUAAUUAAUGAGUGAGCCAUAAUCUUUCAAGGAGCCAUCUGACUGCAUUUCUUGCGGAACUUGUAAUUCCUUAUGUCUCCAUGUAGAUGUGAAAAAAACUUAGCAUCAAAGAAAGAAUUCUCAACCUCAAAGAAAAUAAAAAGGCAAAAGUUCUAUCAGCUACAGACUGGCUUGCCCUAGGAAAAGAUCUCAUUAAGUUUAAUGAUACACUGAAGCUGAUUCAAAAGUUAUCAUGAAUAGAUCAAGCCUCAUACCACCUCAAAGAUGCAACAAGCUUUCUCUCAGUACAAAACUGAAGUAAAGGAGUUGACAUGAAAAGCUGCUGACAGGAAGGAGAAUAACCACCUCUUAGCACCAGGAUGAAGCCUAGCAUCUCUUGGCUCUUGCUGUGGGUCUUUCAUAAUUUCUUAAGUUUUGUCCUCAAAAACCAGGAUUCAAAUGCCAUUCAAUUUGUUUUCUUAUGAAGGAAGACAGCAUGGGUCUGUUUUCACAAAAAGACAAAGUUUCCUAUCAUCUGUGGGGUUUCAACAGUCCUCGGACAUCAACAAAGCUGUAUACUUCUGAUUUUAAAAAAGGCCACGACUAAAAAAGAGAAAAUUGUAUCAAAAAUAACUGGAUUAUUUUCUCUAUACGAAAGGGUAGCGGAUAAGCUUCACGGUCAAGAAUAAUGAGACCCAAGCUUUGUAUUGUCUGAAUAUAAAAUUCUUAGUAAUUUUAAUAAAAUUACAAAGAGAAGACUAUGAGCUUGAAAAGCCAGUCUCAUGCCAAGCUAGAAGCUUUGAUGAUGAUAAAGAUAAAACACCACAGGGAUGAUCCACAUAUGACUGUAGUUUCCCAAAAUGUGUACUGCUUUUAUGAGCUAGGUAAUGGGGAAUAAGCUUUGUGAUAUGUUAAUUUCUAGGGCUAGAAAGUCCUGGGUACUGAACAAAAGUAAGAGGCAGUUUGACACUUAAAACCAAACAUGUUUUAUGAGACAAGCUGCUUUCACAUGAAAAUAUCUGUGAUGCAAGGGUACAUAUAGACACAAAACUAAAAGCUAACACUACAGUUUCAUGACACAUUAAGAAAAAUGCAGAUUAAGUUACAUCAAAAUAGUAUCACAACCAAGGCUUUCAUGUGCUGUUGCAUACACAUAGCAUUAAACAUUUAAAAUACUUGGUUUUAAGUAAAAAUGGAUGUAAAAACAGUAGGGUUUUUAACUCUUCUCUGAAAGAAGCCUCGCAGAAGAGCUACCCCCCAUCUUUGAUUUUAACCAAGAAAUAAUUUCUAAGCUCAAAUUUUCUUUAUUUUCUACUAUGCAUCUAACUUCCUAAAGUAAACUUGUGUGCAACUUACUAAAUGAGACAAGCCUAACAAAUUAACUUUCAGUAAACAGUUACAUGAAAGUAAUAGAGUGGCAACAGAAAUUCAGGAAAGUUCACUGGCAAAAAUCUUCUAAAUUAGUCACAGACAAAAGAGGAGCCAUAGUACAUUCAGAAGGAUGUGGAGAUCAAAUUAUGGAGUGACUUCAAGGGGUGCCUAAGCAAAUAAUGAAGAAAUGUAAAGUAAGAGGAAUGAGAAAUUUAAAAAAAAUAAUUCCUCUGGCUAUGAGCACUUCCUCUUCUUUAUUUUGUCCCAGAUAUUUGGAAAAACUAGUAGGUACUGUCCUUCCAUGUUUUCUAAUAAACCUCUUAACUAUGGUACUGAAGCUUGGGUUUCAUAACCAUUUGCAAACAUUCAGACAAGGAUCACAGAUAGGUUACCUAAACCUACAGCUAACUUCGUGAUCACUAGCAGAUUAGUAACAAUCACUAGUAGGGUUGGUUGAAGAGUUUUCCAGAAGUUAAAGUUAAACAUUUCUGGCAGUCAGAUCGGUACUUCCCUUUUUUUUUUUUUUUUUUUGUAACCAAAACUAAGCCAUUUAUAACUUUAGAAGCACCUUAUACACUUUUUAGGUAACAUUUUAACUACCACUUCAGAACGUGAAAUAAAAUCAAAUGAACAGUGGUUUAGCAAUAAUGGAAAACUAGUACCAAUAGGAAAAAGUAACAGGUACAGGGACAUACUAAUACAACCUGUGACAAUACCCAUUACUAAGGAGCACUGGUAAUCUAACUAUGUCUUAUAUAAAAUGGAUAUAUAAUAUUUAUUGAAAUAAUAAUCGACUCACGAUUCUCAGUGUUUGCUUAAAGCCUUUACAGAUAACUGAAUUUCCAUGUCCUAAUGAAGCAAUUAGGCAACUUACAGCAUCCUGAAGAAUGUUUCACAAGAAGUAGACAUGAACAUUUCUUUUAACAGCAAAAAUUGCUUGGUUACUGCAACAGCUCCGCUAGCACUGGAAACAAACUUGCCUAGAAUCUGAAAGUUAACCAAACAUUGUGAGAUUUUUUCUCACUAAGAAAAACAGCCAAUAUUUACAAAAUGUUUGGUUUAUGCUGCCAGUCUAUUGCUAUCCCCUCCCCCUCUCUGAGUGCCUUUUCCUGCAAGCCACAGUCCGCUGAUGCAUUACUCCCACACUAAAUAUGUUUGUACUACUGCUACUUCUUCACAUCAAGCCAGAAUGGCAAUUAUUUUUUUCAUAUUUCAUUUCUUCUGUUUUCCAUGCUUUAUUUCACAUGCUGCCUUCUAUACGAUGGACCUGCUGUGAACCCUUUUCCAAUUAUUUUUUAGCACCUCCUAUAUAUAGUAAUGAUAAAGUCAUCUUCUGAAACUGCUUUUCCUACCAGUAGGCAGCCUAUAUUAACACAUUCUCCACUUCAGACCAACUAUGAAAUGUAGCUGUAACACUGAAAGUGUCUGGCAGGGCUUACAAUGAAGGUCUUAAAGGUCUUUACAAUGGGAUAUACAGAUGUUGAUGUCUUUGAAAUAUGUUCAGUCAAAAUAAAAUUUUCUGGUUGUGGGGUUUUUUUGUGUUUCUUUUUUAUUUAAAUAUCUGGUGCAAAAAUAUUUUUUACUUAAACAUACCUGGGUGGAUACUUUCAUGUUUUCAACAUCUGCAUUUUUAAAAGAAUGCCAACUUAAGUAGUACAGCAAUAUAUUUGAUUACUUUGAGUAAAAAGAGCCGUUAAACAUUUUAAUCUAAAAGUCCACUUGCAAAUUCCUACACUCAGCUAACUUCCAGAGUUUUGUUUUGUUCUUGAAUGAACUUAAAAUAAUCAAGGAAAGGUUUAAUAAUGACUUCUACCUAACAAAAGGAAGUACCAUGAUUUUUUUAUUAAUCUGUUACAUAGCCUCCUCAAAUUUAGGGGUUCACUAAACAUUGCCAAGUAAUACAAUAUAGUAAUGCAUAACUAUCCAUAUAGUAUACCAUAUUUAUACUAUAUCUGAUAUUUAAUAAUACAAGAUGCUGAAGCACAGAAUUCUUUUGUUGCUUUUCUGCAGGGUUCAUACCUAGCUCCAGCAUGGCAUUAUCAUGCUUAGUUUAGAGGCCUGGAGCACUCCUAUAAUGUGACUGAAGUACGCUCCCAAGACCCAGUUUUGACAUCAAAUAUCCAAGACUUUCUCUGUAUUAAAGCAUUUUUGGAAGCUGUGCCACUACAUAUUUGUCUUUUAUGGUAAAUGGUUAAAGUAAUAAAUAAAAGAGCUCAUAAAAAAUAGCUCAUGCUCUAAACCAAGCUGUUUAAUCAAGGUUUUUAUGAAAAAAAUAACCCCAUAAUGUAAUCUAUUUUCCAUUUCAAACAAAAAACUUGCAGUAUGACUGCCCUCUGUGCACAUGAGCA